GGGAGGGGGAUAACUACUGGAAACGGUAGCUAAUACCGCAUAACGUCGCAAGACCAAAGAGGGGGACCUUCGGGCCUCUUGCCAUCAGAUGUGCCCAGAUGGGAUUAGCUAGUAGGUGGGGUAACGGCUCACCUAGGCGACGAUCCCUAGCUGGUCUGAGAGGAUGACCAGCCACACUGGAACUGAGACACGGUCCAG
rnacentral:rRNA from 1 species